UAGCUAAAUACCGGAUAACAACAGAUGAUGCCUAUCAAACUGUUUAAAAAAAGAUGGUUCUGCUAUCAACUCUUGGACUGGACCUGCGGUGCAUUAGCUAGUUGGUAGGGUAACGGCCUACCAAGGCGAUGAUGCAUAGCCGAGUUGAGAGACUGAUCGGCCACAUUGGGACUGAGACACGGCCCAAACUCCUACGGGAGGCAGCAGUAGGGAAUCUUCCACAAUGGACGCAAGUCUGAUGGAGCAACGCCGCGUGAGUGAAGAAGGGUUUCGGCUCGUAAAGCUCUGUUGUUGGUGAAGAAGGACAGGGGUAGUAACUGACCUUUGUUUGACGGUAAUCAAUUAGAAAGUCACGGCUAACUACGUGCCAGCAGCCGCGGUAAAU
rnacentral:rRNA from 1 species